rnacentral:rRNA from 1 species
GACGAACGCUGGCGGCGUGCCUAACACAUGCAAGUCGAGCGGGGUUGUCUCUGGCACUGAGUAUUUUGGGAAGGUUAAAGGGGACAAAAUAUUCAGUGCUGGAGAUAACCUAGCGGCGGACGGGUGAGUAACACGUGGGUAACCUGCCUUUGACUGGGGGAUAACACCGGGAAACCGGUGCUAAUACCGCAUAACAUGGCGUGUCGGCAUCGGCAUGUCAUCAAAGGAGAAAUCCGGUUGAAGAUGGGCCCGCGGCCGAUUAGCUAGUUGGUGAGGUAACGGCCCACCAAGGCGACGAUCGGUAGCCGAACUGAGAGGUUGGUCGGCCACAUUGGGACUGAGACACGGCCCAGACUCCUACGGGAGGCAGCAGUGGGGAAUAUUGCGCAAUGGGGGGAACCCUGACGCAGCAACGCCGCGUGAAGGAAGAAGGUCUUCGGAUUGUAAACUUCUUUGGCAGGGGACGAAAGAAGACGGUACCCUGAGAACAAGCCACGGCUAACUACGUGCCAGCAGCCGAC